rnacentral:rRNA from 1 species
AACGGCCAUACCAUGCUGAAUAUACCGGUUCUCGUUAGAUCAAAUCAAGCAUCAUUGGGCGCGGUCAGUACUUGGGUACCUGGGAACACCGCGUGCCGUU